CGAAUAUAAAAAUGCAAAUUUCUUGUUGAAUGUUGUCCUCUGUGCAAUUUAGAAUUCUCUUUGGCUGUAGUUUCUCGGCAUCUUAACUGAGUUCUUCAUACUCGUGUUCAGAAUGUAGUAACAAGGAGGUUGUUUUUUUAUAUUUGCCUUUUGUUGAUAUCAAGGGAAACUUAUUCUCUGCUUGUUAACUUGAGCAAGAUACUAUUGCUUGCCAUCAAGAGACUUGGGCCCUGAUCCAGCAAACACUUUUGCACAUGAACUAAUGGGAUUAACUCAGUGGGAAUGCUCACAUGGUAACCCACUGAGGCAUCUGCCUCUCUGGUUUUCCUGUAUAUUAGGUAAAAGGCUUUCUCUCUUCCUCUCCUUGGGCCUGCUCCUGCUCCCAUUUAAAUUAGUGGCAAAACUCCCAGUUACUUCUGUGGUGCAGGAUCAGAUCUUUGCUGCCUAUUUUUUAAUAUGCCAGUGGCUUUUGAUUUUGCUCCUUUCUUUGAUAGCAAUGCCAUGCUAUGCAGUGUAGAAAGCAAGUAAUAUAGUAGCUUAAUUGAUGGUGGUAAUAGAAUUAUUCCAAGUUUUAUUCUUCACAGAGUUCAUGAAAGAAUGCAUGUUAGCCCUGUGAU